UGGGGAAUUUUCCGCAAUGGGCGCAAGCCUGACGGAGCAACGCCGCGUGAGGGAAGAAGGCCUUUGGGCUGUAAACCUCUUUUCUCAAGGAAGAAGAUCUGACGGUACUUGAGGAAUAAGCCACGGCUAAUUCCGUGCCAGCAGCCGCGGUAAUACGGGAGUGGCAAGCGUUAUCCGGAAUUAUUGGGCGUAAAGCGUCCGCAGGCGGCCGUUUAAGUCUGUUGUUAAAUCGUGGAGCUCAACUCCAUCACGGCAAUGGAAACUGUUCGGCUUGAGUAUGGUAGGGGCAGAGGGAAUUUCCGGUGUAGCGGUGAAAUGCGUAGAUAUCGGGAAGAACACCAGUGGCAAAAGCGCUCUGCUGGGCCAUUACUGACGCUCAUGGACGAAAGCCAGGGGAGCG
rnacentral:rRNA from 1 species